CAUGUAGGCGGAUUAAUAAGUUUGAAGUGAAAUCCUAUAGCUUAACUAUAGAACUGCUUUGAAAACUGUUAAUCUAGAAUGUGGGAGAGGUAGAUGGAAUUUCUGGUGUAGGGGUAAAAUCCGUAGAGAUCAGAAGGAAUACCGAUUGCGAAGGCGAUAUACUGGAACAUUAUUGACGCUGAGAUGCGAAAGCGUGGGGAGCAAACA
rnacentral:rRNA from 1 species